UACAGAGGGUGCUAGCGUUGUUCGGAAUUAUUGGGCGUAAAGCGCGUGUAGGCGGCAGCGCAAGUCGGGUGUGAAAGCCCUCAGCUCAACUGAGGAAGUGCGCCCGAAACUGCAUUGCUUGAGUACCGGAGAGGAUGGCGGAAUUCCCGAAGUAGAGGUGAAAUUCGUAGAUAUCGGGAGGAACACCGGUGGCGAAGGCGGCCAUCUGGACGGAUACUGACGCUGAGACGCGAAAGCGUGGGUAGCAAACAGG
rnacentral:rRNA from 1 species